GUGGGGAAUAUUGGACAAUGGGCGAAAGCCUGAUCCAGCCAUGCCGCGUGUGUGAAGAAGGUCUUCGGAUUGUAAAGCACUUUAAGUUGGGAGGAAGGGCAGUAAGUUAAUACCUUGCUGUUUUGACGUUACCAACAGAAUAAGCACCGGCUAACUUCGUGCCAGCAGUCGCGGUAAUACGAAGGGUGCAAGCGUUAAUCGGAAUUACUGGGCGUAAAGCGCGCGUAGGUGGUUCAGCAAGUUGAAGGUGAAAUCCCCGGGCUCAACCUGGGAACUGCCUCCAAAACUACUGGGCUAGAGUACGGUAGAGGGUAGUGGAAUUUCCUGUGUAGCGGUGAAAUGCGUAGAUAUAGGAAGGAACACCAGUGGCGAAGGCGACUACCUGGACUGAUACUGACGCUGAUGUGCGAAAGCGUGGGGAGCAAACAGGAUUAGAAACCCCAGUAGUCC
rnacentral:rRNA from 1 species